rnacentral:rRNA from 1 species
AGCUGUGGAUAGGGGUGAAAGGCUAAACAAACUUGGAAAUAGCUGGUUCUCUCCGAAAACUAUUUAGGUAGUGCCUCGUAUAUCAUUCUCGGGGGUAGAGCACUGUUAUGACUAGGGGGAUCAUAAGAUCUUACCAACUCAUUGCAAACUCCGAAUACUGAGAAAUGCAAUUACGGGAGACAGACCAUGGGUGCUAACGUCCGUGGUCAAGAGGGAAACAACCCAGACCGACAGCUAAGGUCCCAAAUGACGUGCUAAGUGGAAAACGAAGUGGGAAGGCAUAGACAGCCAGGAUGUUGGCUUAGAAGCAGCCAUCAUUUAAAGAAAGCGUAAUAGCUCACUGGUCGAGUCGUCCUGCGCGGAAGAUGUAACGGGGCUAAGCACGUAACCGAAGCUUCGGAUGCUGCACUAUUUAUAGUGUAUGCAUGGUAGGAGAGCGUUCUGUAGGCCUGCGAAGGCAAUCUGUGAGGGUUGCUGGAGGUAUCAGAAGUGCGAAUGCUGACAUGAGUAGCGAUAAAGGGAGUGAAAAGCUCCCUCGCCGAAAGCCCAAGGUUUCCUGCGCAACGUUCAUCGGCGCAGGGUGAGUCGGCCCCUAAGGUGAGGCAGAGAUGCGUAGCUGAUGGGAAACAGGUUAAUAUUCCUGUACUUUAAUAUAAUGCGAUGUGGGGACGGAGAAGGUUAGGUCAGCCAUCUGUUGGAAUAGGUGGUUCAAGCGUGUAGGAAGAUCUCUUAGGCAAAUCCGGGAGGUCAAUUCUGAGGCGUGAUAACGAGGCACUUCGGUGCUGAAGUGAUUGAUACCAAGCUUCCAAGAAAAGCCACUAAGCUUCAGUUAUAUUAGAACCGUACCGCAAACCGACACAGGUGGGCAGGAUGAGAAUUCUAAGGCGCUUGAGAGAACUCAGGAGAAGGAACUCGGCAAAUUGAUACCGUAACUUCGGGAGAAGGUAUGCCUCUGCGUGUGUAGUGACUUGCUCACGAAGCGUGCAGAGGUCGCAGAGAAUAGGUGGCUGCGACUGUUUAUCAAAAACACAGCUCUGUGCCAACACGAAAGUGGACGUAUACGGAGUGACGCCUGCCCGGUGCUGGAAGAUUAAAUGAUGGGGUGCAAGCUCUUGACUGAAGUCCCAGUAAACGGCGGCCGUAACUAUAACGGUCCUAAGGUAGCGAAAUUCCUUGUCGGGUAAGUUCCGACCU